rnacentral:rRNA from 1 species
CAGUCGCCGCGGGAAUACGUAGGUGGCAAGCGUUGUCCGGAAUUAUUGGGCGUAAAGGGCUCGCAGGCGGUUUCUUAAGUCUGAUGUGAAAGCCCCCGGCUCAACCGGGGAGGGUCAUUGGAAACUGGGAAACUUGAGUGCAGGAGAGGAGAGUGGAAUUCCACGUGUAGCGGUGAAAUGCGUAGAGAUGUGGAGGAACACCAGUGGCGAAGGCGACUCUCUGGUCUGUAACUGACGCUGAGGAGCGAAAGCGUGGGGAGCGAACAGGAUUAGAUACCCGCGUAGUCCCUGUCUCUUAUAC